rnacentral:rRNA from 1 species
GACGAACGCUGGCGGCGUGCUUAACACAUGCAAGUCGAACGGAAAGGCCCUGCUUUUGUGGGGUGCUCGAGUGGCGAACGGGUGAGUAACACGUGAGUAACCUGCCCUUGACUUUGGGAUAACUUCAGGAAACUGGGGCUAAUACCGGAUAGGAGCUCCUGCUGCAUGGUGGGGGUUGGAAAGUUUCGGCGGUUGGGGAUGGACUCGCGGCUUAUCAGCUUGUUGGUGGGGUAGUGGCUUACCAAGGCUUUGACGGGUAGCCGGCCUGAGAGGGUGACCGGGCGCAGUGGUGCUGGGCGAGGGCCCAGCGUACGCCGGGGGGCAGCGGUGGGGAGUCUGGCGGUGGGGGCGGGAGCCUGAUGCAGCAGAGCCGCGUGCGGGGUGAUGGGCGUCGGGUUGUAGAACGGUUUCGCAUGGGAGGAAGCGGGAGUGACGGUCAUGGGUAAAGGAGCACCGGCUCCCUAGGUG